GAACACUGUACCAACAGUGUUAGAGCUAUCUGGCUCUUUGGUCGGCUAAAGAAGCUAGGUAGUUCUUCGGACCAGGGUUAGGGUAAGGGUAAGGGAUCAGUGUCAUUGGGACCCCUCGUAAUACGUUAACGCGUUUGGUUUUAAUUAGCUUCUCAACCCACCGCUCUUGAAGAACUCCAGGUGCGCGUCUCGGUGGUGCAGGAGCUCCACGUCGUAGUUGGCAGACGUGUUGGCGUGCUGCUCUUCCUACGCGAGUACGGACAACGUUGAGCAGUGAUACACAGUUCGGUGCGGCCGUGUACACGCACGAAAUGAAAACACGUAUUUCUUAAUUGAAUUGAUGUGCCACCAUGAAGGUAUUUUGCGAAGAGCUCACAGUAUCGAUCGUCUGAAUCCAUUUUAAUUAAUCUAAAGUGCUUUUCCUAAAAAACUAAACAUAAACUCCUCAUUGAGGCUUUAAGAGGUGUGUGUGGGCUAGCUAA